rnacentral:rRNA from 1 species
GAUGAACGCUGGCGGCGUGCUUAACACAUGCAAGUCGAACGGUGAACGAGGGAGCUUGCUCCCUCCGGAUCAGUGGCGAACGGGUGAGUAACACGUGAGCAAUCUGCCCCGAACUCUGGGAUAAGCGCUGGAAACGGCGUCUAAUACCGGAUACGACGCGCGAAGGCAUCUUCUGCGCGUGGAAAGAAUUUCGGUUCGGGAUGAGCUCGCGGCCUAUCAGCUAGUUGGUGAGGUAACGGCUCACCAAGGCGACGACGGGUAGCCGGCCUGGGAGGGUGACCGGCCACACUGGGACUGAGACACGGCCCAGACGCCUACGGGAGGCAGCAGUGGGGAAUAUUGCACAAUGGGCGCAAGCCUGAUGCAGCAACGCCGCGUGAGGGACGACGGCCUUCGGGUUGUAAACCUCUUUUAGUAGGGAAGAAGCGAAAGUGACGGUACCUGCAGAAAAAGCACCGGCUAACUACGUGCCAGCCGCCGCCGUAAGAC